rnacentral:lncRNA from 1 species
UCCUUCUUUCCCCGCCCGCCCAGGACUGGCCCCAGCGCCCCGCGGGGGGACCCCGGCCAUCCCCUUCCCCACCGUCAUUCCAGAGGGGAUUCCCGGCCGCCGCUGGGGCCGCGGAUUUUCCCGCUGGCUACGUAGGGAGCAGGGAGGAGUCCUGCCAUGAACUUCCUUCUGGCCUGGGACGCCCGAGAUCUGAGGGGAGGGCUGAGGGCCUGGUCUCCUGGAUCUGAUCGAGGACAGGCUGGGGGUCUCCCGGGUCUGAGGGAGGAGGAGUUAGGGGCCUGAACCGCUGGAUCUGAGGGAGGAGGAGAUGGGGGCCUGGACCCCUGGGUCUGAGGGAGGAGGGGCUGGGGUCUCGGGGGACCUGAGGAUCUGAGGGAGGAGGGGCUGGAGGCCUGGACCCCUGGGUCUGAGGGAGGGGGGGUUGGGAGUCUCCCGGGUCUGAAGGAGGAGGAGUUAGGGGCCUGGACCCCUGGAUCUGAGGGAGGAGGAGCUGGGGGCCUGGACCCCUGGUUCCGAGGGAGGAGGGGCUGGGGGCCUGGACCCCUGGAUCCGAGGGAGGGGGGUGCUGGGGGCCUGGAGUCCUGGGUCUGAGGGAGGAGGGGCUGGGGACCCAGGGCCCUGGGUUACUGCGAGGGAGGAGGGACUGAGGCCUUGGCUCCUGGGUCCCCCAGGUCUGUGGGUUUGGGGAGGUGGAGGACCAGUCCUUCUGCGAGCAAAGCAUCCCCCUCCUUUGAGAGUGGCCCUAUCCCAAAAGUCCUGACUCUUGGGGCCGAUGACUCAGCAGAUGGGAGAGAGGAGGGGGACAGCCUGACUCAGGGAUGGGAAAUGCUCCCGGUCUCCAGGGAGUAGAAACUGGAAUCCCUCCUCCAGGAUUGAUCGCAGCCCGAGCUGAGCCGGGCUCCGCGAACCCAAGGAUGCCCCCAACCCCCCUUUCCCCGCCUCAAUCCUUUAAGCUGCGUAAGGAUUUGGAGAUCGGCCUAGAGGCGGGUCCCAGGUCCCCCUCCUCCCCCCUUUUUCCCCGUUGUCCUCAAGGCUCUGUUUACAGGAGACGGGAGCCCUGGUUACAGGAGAGGAACCCGAGUGUCCGGGCUGAACCUCCUCGUCACGGCUUCCAGGAAGCCCCCACUCCCCCGCCCCUUGCGAGUGAGUCACGGGCGAGCAGGAGGCCACAACCGUGCCAGAGCCGCCCGCGGCCCGCCCAGCUCACGAGACCGGCCCGGGAAGGCCCCUCAGCAAGCGCCGCACCAGGGAUUCCCCCCCGCCGCUCUCGGACGAAGCAGGUCGACGUGGAGCCUGGCAGAAUCUCCCCACCUUAAUACAAGCCCGCAGCCUGCAAGAAUGAACUUUCCACCAUUAUAA